CGGAAGCCCCCCUCCCCGCACAGUCUCUCUCCUGCGCAAGCGCUCUUCAACAUCACUCCUUGCUACCUCGCCCCCCACCUCCUCCAGGUUUUUAAUCCUGGGUGGGCCUGAGAAGCUUUUAACUACAUCAGAAAUGGAAGCUUUAACUUAAAUUGACCCAGACUUUUGGCACCUAAAAAUGGGACUAUUCUAAUACCUUGAAAGUGACAGAAGCGCCAAGCAACGCUCAACACACUGCGUGGAUGGAGAAGGGAGAAUUGACAAGAAUGCAUAAUUGGCAUAGAUAUCUUCAUCAACUGGCAGAAUUCCCACUCUGCUUCCCUGACCUGUGGAAUAAGAGCCAUUAUGGGAGAAAAGGCUAAGUGGAAACCACUAUAACUGUGUACUUAUGGUGACCUAUGAAAAUAGGAAAUCAGAAGCAAUACUGCAUUCUUAUAGGGAUUGCAGAUUAGUGCCACCAUCAAGGACUUGGAAGAAGAUAAAGAGGUGGUGAUUCCUACCCCGUUCCCCCAUUCAUCUUUCCUUUUUUUUUUUUGGCCUGUGUAGAAGACAGAUGGAUCUUGGAAAAUGACAGUGGAUUAUCAUAAACUUAUUCAGCCCUCCUACAUUGUUGGUGGGAAUGUAAUUGGUACAACCACUAUGAAAAACAUUAUGGAGGUACCUCAGAAGAAACUAAAUAUAGAACUACUGUAUGAUCCAGCGAUACCACUCCUGGGCAUAUAU